rnacentral:rRNA from 1 species
UACGGAGGGGGCUAGCGUUGUUCGGAAUUACUGGGCGUAAAGCGCGUGUAGGCGGCUAUGCAAGUCGGAUGUGAAAGCCCUCGGCUCAACCGGGGAAGUGCACCCGAAACUGCAAAGCUAGAGUCUCGGAGAGGAUCGUGGAAUUCUCGGUGUAGAGGUGAAAUUCGUAGAUAUCUGGAGGAACACCGGUGGCGAAGGCGGCGUUCUGGACUGCAACUGACACUGAGGAACGAAAGCCAGGGGAGCAAACGGG